rnacentral:tRNA from 1 species
GGUCAGGUGGUUCAGUGGUAGAGCAUAUGUCUUGCAUGCAUGAUGCCCUAGGUUUGAUCCCCAGCAUCACAU